AACGAACGCUGGCGGCAUGCCUAACACAUGCAAGUCGAACGAGACCUUCGGGUCUAGUGGCGCACGGGUGCGUAACGCGUGGGAACCUGCCCUUAGGUUCGGAAUAACUCCCCGAAAGGGGUGCUAAUACCGGAUAAUGUCUUCGGACCAAAGAUUUAUCGCCUUUGGAUGGGCCCGCGUUGGAUUAGCUAGUUGGUAGGGUAAAAGCCUACCAAGGCGACGAUCCAUAGCUGGUCUGAGAGGAUGAUCAGCCACACUGGGACUGAGACACGGCCCAGACUCCUACGGGAGGCAGCAGUGGGGAAUAUUGGACAACGGGCGAAAGCAUGAUCCAGCAAUGCCGCGUGAGUGAUGAAGGCCUUAGGGUUGUAAAGCUCUUUUACCCGGGAUGAUAAUGACAGUACCGGGAGAAUAAGCUCCGGCUAACUCCGUG
rnacentral:rRNA from 1 species